AGCACUGUAUGGUAUCUGCUGCUACUGCAUUUGGACUGUUCAUUAGUCUGUGCAAGAGCAACUCGGCAUUUGGCAUUAUUGGUCUCCUUGCCUCGUUGUGCCUGGAGUCUUGGUAUAUCUGUCGAUACAAAC
rnacentral:snoRNA from 1 species